CUUAUAUUGGGCACGGACAGAGGCGACUCCUCCUUUUUCCCCGCCGGGCCCUGAGAGAAGCAGUGGAGGUGUGAACGUCGUCCGGGAAUGAGAGAAAUCAUGCUUCUCCUUGGAAUGCUACAUCCCAUAACAUACUCUUUCAGUGAUGUGGUCCUCUGAUGGAUGUCUGGAUCAUUGGUGGUACUCAACUGAUAACUUGUAUCUGGCUGAUGUGACAAAACAGUAAAGCUGUGGAACAAUCUGGGCUGUGUAAAUGCACCAGAUUGACGAUGGAUGUCUUGACUAGGUCUGGGUGAAUCUUGUUUGUACAGAGUUGUCUGUGGUUACGACAUGCUGUAAAGGGUGGCCAAUUCUACAGUGGGAUAUGAAUGAAGGAAAACAUUCCAGAUGCUGGAGCUUUUUGUGUGAUUGUGCUGCUAGUGAUCCCAACAUCAAGAUUUGGGAAGAUUUGGAGAACAAGCUAUAUGACUGCACGAAGUUAUCAUCAUGAACAAUAUAUGGAGAGCUGCUGCAGUGCUAACCUUGUUUGUUGAUCAGGUCACACUGAGCCAUUCUGCCCUUCUAGGACUGGCUGAUCUGAUCAUCUUCAAUAACUGCAGAUUGCAACCAGAUGAAAGUGUUUUCUUUGGGUAAAGAAUGGGAAUCAAUUGAAUGAAUUUCUGCAAUGUGCUGUUUUUCUGAAACUUGGAAAAGAAAUAAACUAAGCAAAAGUA